GGUAUGGUAUUGGCUUACCGUGGCAGUGACGGUUAACGGGGGAUUAGGGUUCGAUUCCGGAGAGGGAGCCUAAGAAACGGCUACCACAUCUAAGGAAGGCAGCAGGCGCGCAAAUUACCCAAUUCUAACAGCAUAAGAGAGGUAGUGACAAGAAAUAACAGUACAAGGCAAUUUAAAUGCUUUGUAAUUGGAAUGAUAGAAAUUUAAAUACUUUUUAAAGUAUCAAUUGGAGGGCAAGUCUGGUGCCAGCAGCCGCGGUAAUUCCAGCUCCAAUAGCGUAUAUUAAAUUUGUUGCAGUUAAAAAGCUCGUAGUUGAAUUUCUGCUAGAAAUAACCGGUCUGCUUUUAUUAAUAAAAGUGGUAUCUUGGUGUGUUUUUAGCAAUAAUGUCUUUUGAAAUGUUUUUUACUUUAUUGUAGAAAGCAAAAUUCAGGAUUUUUACUUUGAGAAAAUUAGAGUGUUUCAAGCAGGCUAACGUUUUGAAUACUGCAGCAUGGAAUAAUAAAAUAGGAUUUUAGUUCUACGUUAUUGGUUUUAAGAACUAAAUUAAUGAUUGAUAGGGGCAGUUGGGGGCAUUUGUAUUUAACUGUCAGAGGUG
rnacentral:rRNA from 1 species